AUGGCGUUUUGGGUUGCUGGAACCACUUCAAUUUUUUUCUACCACCGGUGUGUCGGUUUGUUGGAACAUUGCCCGAUUUUUGCAUUUUUGCUUUUAUCGUUUUUUAUUUUUGCUGGGACCAGCCUCAAAAUUUUGCUACCACCAUAUUCCUUUUUUUGCUGGAACCGACAAUUUUUGUGCUUCAACCGAGUACUGGAGUUUUAUGUUGCUUUGGUUUUUUUGCUGGAUGUGGCCUUUUCGUUUGCUACAACCGGCUAUACGGAUGCUGGAACCUUUGGGAAGCUGCAAUGCCGCGUGACCACUGGUGAAGGAGCUGCCACGGUGUUGCAACCAAUGGUGGCGGAGCCGCAAUCCGUCGCUGGCAGUUUUCUCAGGAAUUUAUCGAGCUGCAGCCUGUCCACAGUGGUUUUGCGACAGCUUCGUCGAAGAUUUUGCGUGGGCCAUGGCCACCACGGCACCGGUGGGACUCAUGGGAGGGAAGGGGAGAGGAAAGCUGUGACGAUGGCCAUAGUGAUUCACAGUGCACAUGCAUAA
rnacentral:rRNA from 1 species